rnacentral:rRNA from 1 species
AGUGAACGCUGGCGGUAGGCCUAACACAUGCAAGUCGAACGGCAGCACAGUAAGAGCUUGCUCUUACGGGUGGCGAGUGGCGGACGGAUGAGGAAUACAUCGGAACCUACUUUUUGGUGGGGCAUAACGUAGGGAAACUUACUCUAAUACCGCAUCCGCCCUACGGGUGAAAGCAGGGGAUCUUCGGACCUUGCGGGAUUGAAUGAGCCGAUGUCGGAUUAGCUGGUUGGCGGGGUAAAGGCCCACCAAGGCGGCGAUCCGUAGCUGGUCUGAGAGGAUGGUCAGCCACACUGGAACUGAGACACGGUCCAGGCUACUGCGGGACGCAGCAGCGGGGAAUAUUAGACAAUGGGCGGAAGCCUGGUCCAGCCAUACCGCGUGGGUGAAGGAGGCCUUCGGGUUGUAAAGCCCUUUUGUUGGGAAAGAAAAGCAGCAGGUUAAUACCCCGCUGUUCUGACGGUACCCAAAGAAUAAGCACCGGCUAACUUCGUG